GGGAGCCAAGUGAAGAGCCAGCCAGUCUGACCCAUGAUUCUUGACAUGACUCAUGGUGAACUAAAAUUGCUUGCAAAGCAUCUGGGACAUGAUGUGAAGACCCACAAGGAAUAUUAUCAGUUGUCUUCCAGUACCAUGGAACUCUCAAAGGUUGCCCUGAUGUUGUAUGCUGU